rnacentral:snRNA from 1 species
GUGUUUGCUUCCAGUAUAUAUACUAACAUUGGAACAAUACAGAGAAGAUUGGCAUGGCACCUGCACAAGGAUAACAAAUAAAUUCAUGAAGUGUUUUAUAUUUAA